rnacentral:lncRNA from 1 species
AAGUCUCCAGGAUAUUUUUUUAUAUAUUUAUUUAUAAAUGUUUUGGAUUUCUAUUGGCAGUUUUCACCAUUGAAUUUAACAGUAAUGUUACACCCUCUAUAUCUAACCGCGUCCAUGCAUCAAACAAUAAGCUUAAAGCAUAGACUUUUCCUCCAUUCACGUCCAACCUGACUUAACACUGAAUACAACUCAAAUUAUCGGCUGUUAGGUUUACACUUUGAAUUGC